AUUUCACGCGCAGUCGGUAAACUGCAUACAUUUCGGAGCGCUUUUAAACGUAAAAGUCCUCACGCUCUCUGCCUAAAAAACAAAGCGUGCUGAUUAAAAAUACUUUGAUGGAUUUUAAAGAGGACAUCUGUGGCUAAAUUGAAAGCAGUAUAUUACUUUUUAUUUCUAAAACCUGAUGGUUAAAUUUCGAUGGGGGAAAUUUAGGAUUUAAAUACUCCAGUGAAAAACAUUUUUCUCUUCAUCUUGGCUCCUGAAAAAAUACAACACUCUUUGUAGACAUCUGCUCGUGGGCUUUGAUGUAUCACCUACCAGUGUUGAAUGUGGACCUUGAAUGCUUGGUAUCUGAAGGACGACCGUCACAUGAAGAAUGCUGGGAAGGGCUAGAAAACUCUGUGCUGCAAAAAAGAAAAAAAAAAGAAAAACAGAUGCCACACUGCACUGAACAAAGAAUGCUCUUCUUAGGCUUGACCUUACGACAUCUGUCCUGCCGC
rnacentral:lncRNA from 1 species